rnacentral:rRNA from 1 species
UACAGAGGUCCCGAGCGUUGUUCGGAUUCACUGGGCGUAAAGGGUGCGUAGGUGGCAUGGUAAGUUUGAUGUGAAAGCUCAGGGCUUAACCCUGAAAUGGCAUUGAAUACUACUGUGCUGGAGGUUUGGAGGGGGGACUGGAAUUCUUGGUGUGGCAGUGAAAUGCGUAGAUAUCAAGAGGAACACCAGUGGCGAAGGCGAGUCCCUGGACAACACCUGACACUGAGGCACGAAAGCUAGGGGAGCAAACAGG